rnacentral:rRNA from 1 species
UACAGAGGUCUCGAGCGUUAGGCGGAAUCACUGGGCUUAAAGUGUGUGUAGGCGGAUGCCUAAGUACCUUGUGAAAUCCCACAGCUUAACUGUGGAACUGCUUGGUAUACUGGGUGUCUUGAGCCACUCAGGGGCGAGCGGAACAAAUGGUGGAGCGGUGAAAUGCGUAGAUAUCAUUUGGAACGCCAAUGGUGAAAACAGCUCGCUGGGGGUGUGCUGACGCUGAGACACGAAAGCCAGGGGAGCGAACGGG